AUUGAACGCUGGCGGCAUGCCUUACACAUGCAAGUCGAACGGUAACGGGCCUUCGGGUGCCGACGAGUGGCGAACGGGUGAGUAAUGUAUCGGAACGUACCUUUCAGUGGGGGAUAACGUAGCGAAAGUUACGCUAAUACCGCAUAUUCUGUGAGCAGGAAAGCAGGGGAUCGCAAGAUCUUGCGCUGAUUGAGCGGCCGAUAUCAGAUUAGCUAGUUGGUGAGGUAAAGGCUCACCAAGGCGACGAUCUGUAGCGGGUCCGAGAGGAUGAUCCGCCACACUGGAACUGAGACACGGUCCAGACUCCUACGGGAGGCAGCAGUGGGGAAUUUUGGACAAUGGGGGCAACCCUGAUCCAGCCAUGCCGCGUGAGUGAAGAAGGCCUUCGGGUUGUAAAGCUCUUUCGGCCGGGAAGAAAUCGUAUCAGCUAAUACCUGGUGCGGAUGACGGUACCGGCAUAAGAAGCACCGGCUAACUACGUGCCAGCCGCCGCUGUAACAC
rnacentral:rRNA from 1 species